rnacentral:sRNA from 1 species
UUUUUCGAGAAAAAUGCCCAAAUUCAAGGCGACCCGUGGGGUCGGGGGUCAGGAAAAACAUGCGCCUCUGGCCGAUCAGAUCCUGGCUGGGAAUGCCGUGCGGGCGGGGGUCCGGGAGAAGCGGCGGGGUCGCGGGACCGGAGAAGCGGAGGAAGAGUAUGUGGGGCCCCGGCUGAGCCGACGGAUUUUGCAGCAAGCACGGCAGCAACAGGAGGAGCUCGAGGCCGAGCAUGGGACUGGGGACAAGCCCGCGGCGCCGCGGGAACGCACCACGCGGCUGGGUCCAAGAAUGCCUCAAGAUGGAUCAGAUGAUGAGGACGAGGAGUGGCCCACCCUGGAGAAGGCUGCCACAAUGACAGCGGUGGGCCACCAUGCAGAGGUGGUUGUGGACCCUGAGGAUGAGCGUGCCAUAGAGAUGUUCAUGAACAAGAACCCUCCUGCCAGGCGCACCCUGGCUGACAUCAUCAUGGAGAAGCUGACUGAGAAGCAGACAGAGGUUGAGACAGUCAUGUCAGAGGUGUCGGGCUUCCCUAUGCCCCAGCUGGACCCCCGGGUCCUAGAAGUGUACAGGGGGGUCCAGGAGGUAAGAGCUGAGAGGGGAGCCAUGGUGGAAGACCCCUUUGGGGGCUGUGGGCUCCUGCCACAGGCUUUUUUGCCUUUUGCCUGCAUC